UUAAGUCCCGCAACCGAGCGCAACCCCUGCAUUCAGUUGCCAUCGGGUAAGUGCCGGGCACUCUGGAAGGACUGCCAUCGACAAGAUGGAGGAAGUGGGGAUGACGUCAAGUCAUCAUGGCCCUUAUGUCCAGGGCGACACACGUGCUACAAUGGCCGGCACAACGGGAAGCGAGUUCGCGAGGACGAGCGGAUCCCUCAAAGCCGGUCGCAGUUCGGAUUGAAGUCUGCAACUCGACUUCAUGAAGCUGGAAUCGCUAGUAAUCGUGGAUCAGCCAAGCCGCGGUGAAUACGUUCCCGGGCCUU
rnacentral:rRNA from 1 species